rnacentral:rRNA from 1 species
UACGUAGGGACCAAGCGUUGUCCGGAAUCAUUGGGCGUAAAGCGCGCGUAGGUGGCUUCGUAAGGCCGUUGUGAAAGUCAAAGGCUCAACCUUUGAAAGCCGAUGGAUACUGCGAAGCUAGAGUACGGAAGAGGCGAGUGGAAUUCCUGGUGUAGCGGUGAAAUGCGCAGAUAUCAGGAGGAACACCAAUGGCGAAGGCAGCACUCUGGGACGGUACUGACGCUGAGACGCGAAAGCGUGGGGAGCAAACAGG